rnacentral:rRNA from 1 species
AGUGAACGCUGGCGGCGUGCCUAAUACAUGCAAGUCGAACGGAGUGGCGCACGGGUGAGUAAUGUAUAGCUAAUCUGCCCUACACUAGAGGACAACAGUUGGAAACGGCUGCUAAUACUCUAUAGUGUAGGAUGAGGCUAUAUUGUAUCAGCUAGUUGGUGAGGUAAUGGCUCACCAAGGCUAUGACGCUUAACUGGUCUGAGAGGAUGAUCAGUCACACUGGAACUGAGAACCGGGCCAAACUCCUACGGGAAGCAGCAGGUGGGAAUAUUGCUCCAUGGGGGGAACCCUGAAGCAGCAACGCCGCGUGAGUGAAGACGGCCUUCGGGUUGGAAAGCUCUGUUAAUCGGGACGCGGUACCGGAAUAGAAAGCCACGGCUAACUACGUGCCAGCCGCCGCGGUAAUAC